rnacentral:rRNA from 1 species
AACGAACGCUGGCGGCAGGCCUAACACAUGCAAGUCGAACGCUCCGCAAGGGGAGUGGCAGACGGGUGAGUAACACGUGGGAAUCUUCCUAUUGGUACGGAAUAGCUCAGGGAAACUUGGGGUAAUACCGUAUAAGCCCGAGAGGGGAAAGAUCUAUCGCCAGUAGAUGAGCCCGCGGCCGAUUAGCUAUUUGGUGAGGUAAUGGCUCACAAAGGCAACGAUCGGUAGCCGGUCUGAGAGGAUGUUCAGCCACACUGGUACUGAGACACGGACCAGACUCCUACGGGAGGCAGCAGUGGGGAAUAUUGCGCAAUGGGCGAAAGCCUGACGCAGCAACGCCGCGUGGGUGAUGAAGGCCUUCGGGUCGUAAAGCCCUGUCAGAUGGGACGAACCACCCCGCAAGGGGCCUGACGGUACCAUCGAAGGAAGCACCGGCUAACUCCGUGCCAG